rnacentral:rRNA from 1 species
CGCGUGAGCAAUCUGCCUUUGGAUGGGGGAUAACAGCCGGAAACGACUGCUAAUACCGCAUAAUGCAGCGGGACCGCAUGAUUUUGCUGCCAAAGAUUUAUCGUCCAAAGAUGAGCUCGCGUCUGAUUAGCCAGUUGGCGGGGUAACGGCCCACCAAAGCGACGAUCAGUAGCCGGACUGAGAGGUUGAACGGCCACAUUGGGACUGAGACACGGCCCAGACUCCUACGGAAGGCAGCAG